rnacentral:tRNA from 1 species
GGAGAGUUGCCGGAGUGGUCGAUCGGGGCGGUCUCGAAAACCGUUGUGGGCUUUGCCUACCCAGGGUUCGAAUCCCUGACUCUCCG